rnacentral:rRNA from 1 species
GAUGAACGCUGGCGGCGUGCUUAACACAUGCAAGUCGAACGGAAAGGCCCAAGCUUGCUUGGGUACUCGAGUGGCGAACGGGUGAGUAACACGUGGGUGAUCUGCCCUGCACUUCGGGAUAAGCCUGGGAAACUGGGUCUAAUACCGGAUAGGACCACUUCUUGGAUGUUGUGGUGGAAAGUUUUUUCGGUGUGGGAUGAGCUCGCGGCCUAUCAGCUUGUUGGUGGGGUAAUGGCCUACCAAGGCGUCGACGGGUAGCCGGCCUGAGAGGGUGUACGGCCACAUUGGGACUGAGAUACGGCCCAGACUCCUACGGGAGGCAGCAGUGGGGAAUAUUGCACAAUGGGAGCAAGCCUGAUGCAGCGACGCCGCGUGGGGGAUGACGGCCUUCGGGUUGUAAACUCCUUUCGCUAGGGACGAAGCGUUUUGUGACGGUACCUGGAGAAGAAGCACCGGCUAACUACGUG